UGGUAUAAAUAAAAUUACAUGUUAUUCAAGUAGCAAAGAGUUGGAGAGGAAGUAUGGCAGAAUUAGUAGCAGCAUCUCAACUAGAGAAGCCUGAAGUACAGAGAAAGGCAAGGCCCUCUCUUACGGAAAGUACUUCUCACGCAAGGCAAGAAGAGUAGGAUCCGGUUCUUGCACUUCAAGUAAGUCUAGUAACACAGAUGUUGUAGAUGCAUCUGCUGCAAAGCGGCGACCAAGCAUUUCAUCUAGUAGUACAUCUGCUUCAUAGUACUUAUUAUUCUGUAAACAACAGCGUAUAAGUGUGUUGUAUGUGACAUCAUUAGGCAAGCAAUAAUGAGCUUCCAUUUCCCUGAAUAGUUCAUUUGCUUCAUCCAAUAACCCUACAUGACAAUAUGCUUGGAUCAUCACAGUGUAUGUCUUGACAUUAGGUCGCAAACCUUUCGCAGGAAGGUUGUCAAAAAGGCUUCUUGCAUUCUCGAGAUGUCCAUUUUUGCUUAGUCCAUCAAUCAGAAUAGUGUAAACCUGUAUAUCAGCAACUAACCCACUGGACUCUAGUAUUUGAAAAAACGAUAGUGCUUCAAAUACAUAACAAUUCUGGCAAAGACCAUGCAACAAGAUACGACAUGUCACUUUAUCCAACUCAACACCUUGGUUAAUCAUCUUUUCCCUAAAAAAAUUACGUGCUUCAACAUGCCUGCCCACAUGAAAAAAACCUUGCAGUAUAGUACUGUAAGUCUGAAUAGUUGGGGUUAAACCUUCAGAGGGCAUUUGUUGAAAAAGAUCUAUGGCUCUGUCCACUUUCUUCUUUCUACAGUACCCGUUGAUGAGGAUAUUAUAGCUAAGAGCAUCAUGCAAUAUUCCCUUUCUAGUCAUGCUUUCGAACACUACUAAAGCUUUAUCAACCUCUCCCUGCAAGCAGUAUCCAUCCAUUAGUGAAUUGUAAGUGACUACAUCUGGAUAAUGGCCUCUUUGAAUCAUCAACUCUAUCACAUCCUCCGCAUCUUCAAUCAUUCCUUCUUUGCAAUACGCAUCAACCAAUAUGCUGUAAGUAAAAACAUCUCGAGAAAUGUUCCUAACAUCCAUCUCCUUGAGCAAUAAUUUGACAUCAUGCCAUCGAUUAAUGUCACACAGUCCUUGAAUUAACGAGCUGUAGGUUAUAACAUUUGGGGAUAUGCCUUUCCUUGUCAUUCGGUGGAGAAGACCCAAUGCUUGAUCGACUAACUUAUGUUUACAUAAACAGUCAAUAAUUGUGUUGUAAGUGACCGUAUUAGGCUUGCAACCUUUCUUCUCCAUAAUUUUGAACAACUUAACAGUCACAGAAGGAUUCCCUCUCUUGCAGAUGCCGUCAAUGAUAGUUGUAUAGGUAACAACAUCGGGUUGAAUAAGUUGAAAUCUGAUGAGGUUCUGGAACAAAAGCUGAGCCUCUUGAAGCAUAUCUUGGGAAAUAAGGCCCCUGAUGAGAGUGGUAUAAGUAAACACAUCACGGACAAAACCGUGCUUGAUGAUUCCAGCUAAUAGUUUUUGAAUUAUCUCAUUCAAAAACUUUUAGGGUCAAAGCUUCGUGUUCCCGAUUUAAUCAAUUAAUCCAUUACAACAUUGUGAAUUGAUUUGAUUUUGGAAAAUCGAUUAAUUUUUAUAAUUUUUUAAUAGAAAUAAAUAUAAUAAGUUUAUUGGAAUUAAAAUACUAUAUCAAUUCAAAUAUUAAUAAGUACAGAAUUUAUGAUAUAAUAAAGAUAUAUUUAUUACUAAAUAACCAAUGCCAUAUAACUAAAUAUUAAAAUACGUUCGAUUUUCAUUCCAAUUAAUCCCUCUGAUUAAUUCCCGAUUUUCGAUUAAUACUAAAUCGGUAGAUUAACUGGUUAGGUCUGAUUUCCGAUUUCUGUAACAGUGGUCAAGAGUUAUAUUUAUAUACUAGUUUAUGACUCGUGCAAUACCCGGGCAGUUAUAAUAUUUGUUAUUUUAUCGUAUAUAUUUUAAUUUAAACUAAUACUAUUAUGAGAAUAAAAUUAUGAUAGAAUAAUAUGAUUAAAUAAAUUUUUAUUUAACGGAUGAUAAAUUCUUAAUAGUUAAUUUCGUCAAAUUGCUAAUUAAAAAUGAGGUCGAAUAUAUAUAUUUUACUGAGAAUGUUACAUUACAUUUUUUUUUUCAUGUUAUAAUUUAAGGAGAUCUAUAAAAUCAUAUGUAAAUCAACCUAUCAAUCUUUUAAUAUUUCGUUAUUGAUAAUUAAUAAUAUAGUAUGGAACAUAUUAAGUUAAAAAAAUACGUAAACCAAAUACCGACCCAUCAUACUGACCUAAAUGUUUUGGUUUAUUAGAUAAUAAAAAAUAUAUUAUAACAUGUUAUAAAUUAAAGAGAUUCGUGACUAGAAUACCAACCGGCUCACAGAACUCUCGACUAACAUACCGACUAAGUGAACUUUUCCUAAUUCUGAUUUUCGAUUUGUGUAAUACUAAAUCUAUCAUUGGCUCAUUAUACAUACAUUUAUAGAGUAUAUAAAGGUUAUUAUUGAUAUUUUGUACUAAUGUAUUUAUUAUACAUUAAUGUCUAAUUGUUAAUAUACAUUAAUUAUUACAUGAUUUGGAAUUAAUUUAAUAUUAUACAUAUAAAUAACAUAUAUCUAAUCAUUUUUAAAAUUUUAACUUUUCCCCACAAAUUUUGUAAAUUUUAAUAUUUUUCCUGAUUUUUGAGUGAUUAAUCCAGUUUUGACCAAUUAAUCAUCGAUUUAACUGAAUUUUACUAAAUCAUAUUAAAACCCGUCUGAUUAUCGAUUAUUCGGUUAAUCGACCGAUUUUAAUUAUUAUGAUUUAAUAAAAUUAUAUAUGUGAUUUAAUAAAAUGAUAUAUAUAUAUAUAUAUAUAUAUAUAUAUAUAUAUAUAUCAUUUUUUUAACUAGUUGAACUAAAUUAAUAAGUAUAUACAAAUUUAUAUUAAUACAUAAUCUAAGUAUAGAUAAUAAUAAUAUCAAUAAUAUUAAUAAUAUAGUAAUAUNAAUGAUUUAAAAUACAAACAAAUAUAAAAUUUAAAUUAUACAAAUAAUCUCAACUUAAAGAGAAUGAACAAAAGAUAUAUAUAACAUACAUUAAAAAAAAUAGUAUAAAGCAAUCUGUGUUUUGCACAGGUUAAAAAGCUAAUUAGAAAUAGAUCAGUGAUUUCUCAUAACGGUUUCUCUGAAUAAAUAUAUAAUUUUUUUUAAUUAUAAUAUACAUGUAUCAAUAUAAUGAUAAUUUUAGGAGUGGCUAUGACUCCCUCUGAUCUCUGUUUAAACUUGUCUUAUAUAGGGAUAAACUAAAAACAAAAUCAUAGAAAUAAAUAUUCAUGUGAUAGUGCAAACAAUUAUCAAUAGUGUGGUGAGCAGGUCAUCAUUUAGCCGACUUUACUUGAGUUUUUUAUUUUGUUUGUAAGCACAAUUUUAUAUAUAAACAAUCUUCCAACAAGAAGAUGAUGAUUGGAAAUAAGUACAAGCAUUAGGAACUAAUAAGUCAAAGUUUGGGACCUAAAAUCAGCAUCAAAGCAGGAGCAUAUUAGUCGAUAUCCAACAAAGAGGAGAUCAGCAGCAAGCAUUCCAGCUUGGUGAGUUUCCUCCUGAGCACCCACCUCUUCCACACAAUUAUCCAUCUAAAACUGACCAUUCUGCAUGGCUAAACCAUUAUCCUGCAUGUUUUUCAGGAGCAUGAGCCAUGUUAACAGGGGCGUUAACUUGACCUAAACCCAAUCUAUGAAUUUGAUCAACUAGCCAAGGGUAGCAUAAAAAUUCACAGGAUCUUGGGCCUAGUCAAGAAGCACCACAUCCUUGAAAUCUGGAUGAUCGACCCCAAGACAUACGCUAUCACACAAGUCCAGCUCCUGUCUUUGAGCAAAAUAUCGAUUUGUGAGACUAGAUCAUAAACUGCAGCUGGAGCACCCAUUAGGAAGUCCCUCACAGUACGAAACGCCUCCCAGUUAUCAGUUUCCAGGAUAACAGAAGCAUAUCCUUUGAUUAUGGCACGACUCAGCGGGGCAUAAAUCGCCCAGAGUUGGUUCGCCAAUCGCGUUAGGAAGGGGAUAGCCCCCACCAUUACAUGCCUGAAAGAGUCGUUUGUAAGUAAAUGCUCGACUGAAGCUUGAGGAGAACCACUUGAGUUCAUCAUUGCUGUUGCUGAUACAGUUGACUUGCACGUGAAACUCAGCAUGCAUUGGCCAGUGAAGAUAUGGAAUUAAUGAGGGAGAUCCAUGCAAGUUAAUAUACUUUGAUAAUUCUAUAUGAAGAUCUUAAUAUCUUUUGCCUGAAUUAUUUGACUAUUCAGAUUCGAGAAAUGAAUACCAUGAUAAGAAUGGUUGAGCUUCCUUCUGAAGUUGAUCAGUGCAAUCAAAUUUGAAUUAAAGCCAGGCUGACAGCAGUUUCUCUUUGAUCCUUCUCACGAUAUGAUCCACCUUAAAUAACCUUGCAUGCAUUGGCUGAUGAAAAUUGUACAAAGAUAACCUAUUCUCAGAAUGGCUCCAGGUCAGCAACUUAUUCAUCGUAGCAGCUCUUAAAACACUAGUUGCUUCCACACGUUUGCCUGUAAGAAAAUAACAUUGCAAUAUAGUACUGUAACUCUCACUAGUUGCUUUUAUACCUCCAAAAAUGCUGGCAAACUCGAGAAGAUUAUGUACCUCAGAACUCUCUCCUUCGUUACACCUACGGCAAGUACUUCUUGCACAAAGCAAGCAGAGCAUGAUCCUGUUCUUGCACAUCAAGUAAAUCCACUAAAACAGAUGCAGUAGAUGCAUCUGCUGCAAAGCCGUGACCAAGCAUUUCAUCUAAGAGUACACCUGCUUCACAGUAAUUCUUAUUCUGUAAACAACCGCGGAUAAGCAUGUUGUAUGUGACAUCAUCAGGCAAGCAAUCAUUUCCUACCAUUUCCCUGAAUAGUUCAUUUGCUUCAUCCAAUAACCCUUCAUGACAAUAUGCUUGGAUCAUCAUUGUGUAUGUUUUGACAUCAGGCCGCAAACCUUUCAAAGGAAGGUUGUCAAAAAGGCUUCUUGCAUUCUCUAGAUGUCCAUUUUUGCUUAGUCCAUCCAUCAGAAUAGUGUAAACAUGUAUAUCAGGAACUAGCCCACGGCAUUCCAGUAUUUGAAAAAAGGAUAGUGCUUCAACAACAUAACUAUUCUGGCAAAGACCAUGCAACAAGAUACGGCAUGUCACUUUAUCUAACUCAACGCCUUGGUUAAUCAUCUUUUCCUUAAAAAAUUUACGUGCUUCAACAUGUCUACCUGCAUGAAAAAAACCUUGCAGUAUAGUACUGUAAGUCUGAAUAGAUGGGGUUAAACCUUCAGAGGGCAUUUGUUGAAAAAGAUCUAUGGCUCUGUCCACUUUAAACUUUUUACAAUAACCGUUGAUGAGGAUAUUAUAGCUAAGAGUAUUAGGCAAUAUUCCCUUUCUAGUCAUGCUUUCGAACACUACUAAAGCUUUAUCAACCUCUCCCUGCAAGCAGUAUCCAUCCAUUAGUGAAUUGUAAGUGACUACAUUAGGAUAAUGGCCUCUUUGAAUCAUCAACUCUAUCACAUCCUCUGCAUCUUCAAUCAUUCCUUCUUUGCAAUACGCAUCAAUCAAUAUACUGUAAGUAAAAACAUUUUGAGAAAUGUUCCUAAGAUCCAUCUCCUUGAGCAAUUGUUUGACAUCAUGCCAUCGAUUAAAGUCACACAACCCUUGAAUUAAAGAGCUGUAGGUCAUAACAUUUGGUGAUAUGCCUUUCCUUGUCAUUUGGUGGAGAAGACCCAAUGCUUGAUCGAUUAAUCUAUGUUUACACAAACAGUCAAUAAUUGUGGUGUAAGUUACAGUAUUAGGCCUGCAACCUUUCUUCUCCAUAAUUUUAAACAACUUAACAGCCACAGAAGGAUUCCCUCUCUUGCAGAUGCCGUCAAUGAUAAUUGCAUAGGUAACAACAUCGGAUUGAAUAAGUUGAAAUCUGAUGAGGUUCUGGAACAAAAGCUGAGCCUCUUGAAGCAUAUCUAGGGAAAUAAGGCCCCUGAUGAGAGUGGUAUAAGUCACCACACUUGGCACAAAACCGUGCUUGAUGAUUCCAGCCAGUAAUGAAAAGGCAAAAUGAACACGAUCCAAGUGACAAAAACAGUUGAUAAUAGUAGUAAUGGUAAAUAUAUCAACAGGGAUGCUUUCUACCCGCAUCUUUCUAAAAAGGGAGACAGCUACGGAGUAGUGUUUCAUCUUAACAAGAGCUGUUAAGAGUUGAGUGAAGUUGAUAACAGUGGGCAGAGGCUUCAUAAGGAGCAUUUUAUCAAACAGUUGAAGAGCAUCAUCGAGUUUAUCAAAACCAACCUUAGAUUUCUCAAGGAGUAAAUGUUGAAGUCGAGCAUGAGGUGGAUUAGAGGAACAAGGGAAAUGGGGUUUGGGUUUAAAGGGAAUAUUAGGGUUAGGGUUAGUGGAGAAGUGAGAAACUGUAAUAACAGAAUAGGAUGUAAGACAACAAGUAAGAGCUGAAGCUGCAGAAUGUGGUAGGAAUCGAGAAUUAAAUAUCACAAAUUUCAUCAUCAUAUCUCUACUUGUCAGACUCAGAUUUUUACCUGGUAGAACGCAAAAGAGCAGAGUAUCAUCAACUGAAGCCCAGAAUUUUGAUUUACGCCUAUGUUAUCACUCUGUACCAGAAAUUAUUAGGUUUCUUAAAAUAGUAUUCCCGUUUUAGUUCACUCAAUAUUAAAUAAAACUUUAAAUUGUUUUCCAAAUAAAUUGAUAUAUUUAACAUUUGUUUUUAGCCUUUAUAUAACUUAGAUUUAAUAAGUGUUUGACGAGAGCUCGAUUGGACUAUUUACAUCAUUGUUUAUGUCAUUUUAUUAUUUCAAAAAUAUAAUAAAUUUUAAUAUUUUAUAUUAAAGUGGUCAUAUGUUAAGAUAUCUCAACCACCUAACUUCAUCUCUACGAGAACUUGUUUAAAACUGUCAUAUUAUUAUAUAUCACGUUAUUAAAUUUUGAUUUGUUUUAUAGAAUUGAGUAUUUUUUUUAAAUAUACGAGUUUCACAUAGACAAUUCUUAUUUUUGUUUGAUCACUAAAAAUCGAGUAAGAAAGUCAAAUAAGGUUGAAGGUGUGAGGAGAAUAUUCCUAAUAAAAUAUAUGAUAUAUGUCCUUAGAUGUGAAAGCCAAACAAAGUUGAAGGUGUCAGAGAAAUAUUCGAAAAAUAACAUAUUAUAUAUGUCCUUAUAUGUUUUAACAUGCAUAUGUAUAUAUUAUUGUGAUUUAUUUUUAUCAUGGGCUUACAUGUAAUACACUUCAUUUUGCAACUAUUAUUAGGUUAAAUUUGUUGUCAAAAUAUCUUUUAGAUGUGACAUGGUGAUUUUUAUAGCAAUUGGAGUGUUUAAAUGGCAUCCUUAGAGCAAGUCCAAUGGUGAUGUUAAAAUAGAUGUAGCUAUUGUUAUAAUUUGAAAUCAAAAAGUGGUUUUUGGUGCUAAAAUAGAAUUUAUGGUCCAAUGAUAAAUGUAAAAUAGCACCAAAUAUAUCCAAAUAAAGUUAUAUUCCAAUUAUAUAAUCUUAAAGUACAUAACUAUAUUUGUCAGUAUUACUUUAUUCAUGCAUUUUGUCACUUGCAUGCUUAUGUGGCAAUUAUAGCACCAUCUAUACUUGGUUCUAUAUUUAGCACCAAGUAUAGCAUUUUGCUAUUUUACAUUCAAGUUUAGCAUCCCAUUGGAGUUGAUUUUUUUGCUUGGGUGCUAUAUUAUAGCAAUAGCACCUAUUUUAGCACCACCAUUGGACUUGCUCUUAGAAAUCGGGUAGAUAGGUGAUAUUCCCUCUCUCUCCUCCAAUUUUUUAUCGUUUCGAAUGGAGUGUUUGACACGUAUUUUUAAAGUUCAUGUAAAGUAUAGCUUCAUAAUUUAUUCUUUUUCUGAACAAAAAUUUAAUGUUUAAAUUUUUUAUAUUGGAAAAAAAUUAUAAAAAUAAGUUAUAGAACUAUAUUUUAUAUGAGUGUUAAAAUGCGUGUCGAGUACUCCACUCCAAACGAUAAAAAUUGGGGGGCGGAGAGUAUAUUCUAACGAGAAUGAUGGCCUCUUUCACAUAAAUCCUAAAAUAUUGAUAACUAUUAAAAAUAUCUUAAAUUAAUAAUUAAAGCAGAAAUUAUCAAUUUAGUCAUUUUUUUCUAUUUAAUUUUUUGAGAAACUUAUUGAAAUGAUAUAUAUGACUAUCAAAACGAGCCUCUAUCGAAAACAACAAGUUAACCACUUCGAUAAAAGUUGGAUGAAUUUAACGUGGCGUUUGAAUGUUAUUAGUGAACAUUUUGACAUAAAUAGUUGUACAAGGACAAUGAUCUUCAGUCUUGUAAUCUUGUUGAUAAAAACAUUCUAAAUCUUUAUUCGAAUAAAAAGUACCUUGUGCAUUCGCAUUUUUCUAGGACCUAUAUUUUUCUAGGUGACGGAGAAGAUUAAAGAAAUUGGCACUCAAAUCUGAUUCUCACACUUUGUAUUAGAGUGAGUUGCCCAAAAUUUUUAAAAGCCCGUUUUCUGAUUAGGUGGCAAGGAAAAAAGAAAAGAGUGGCAGAGCACUUGGGUUCAGCAUUUCACAGCACUUGCUCUUAGUUCCCAAAGAUGAGAAGUGUUUCUCAGUUUCACUAUUAGCUUAUAACUCGAUACUUUAAAGUUUAAGGCUAAUAAUAUCUUCUUCUUGAUCUAUCUUAUUUGAUAUGUUAGUCUCAUGCAAGUCCCGGUAACAACAUUGCAAAUAUAUUUAAGAACUUACUGGGAUCGCAGAUCUGGUGUGUCAGAUUCAGAAUUGCNAAUUAAGAACUCACUGGGAUCGCAGAUCCGGUGUGUCAGAUUCAGAAUUGCAAAAUCUUUUGAAAGCAUACAAUAUCCACAAAGUUACGAGCUGAAUACCGCUGUAGGGAUGUAUACAAUUGUAUCCACUGUGUUGCCACUCUAAAAACCAACAAAAAGUUCCACCCAGCUGACAUUAAAGACCUGGGCUGACUGGUCUGAUCAGCCGUUCAAGUUCUUUAUCUGAGAGCACUGGCCAGGUUAAUGGUUCUGCAAUGCACUGAGAAGUCUGCAGACUCGGAAUCAGAUGACCUCAACUAAGGUCAUCAGAGGUCAGUAUCUAAGAGUAGUAAGAGAGGUGAUAUAGUGAAGAAGAUAAAUUAGAAGUCCAUGACCAGGGACGGAUUAUAGGAUGCACAAGACACUCGCAGCAAGCAAGGAACUCGCUCCACCUAGCCCCAUCGGCAAGGCUUCAUAAAGCCACGAAAAACAUCAUAUAUAUUUCCUGAGUUCGAAACCUUACUCUCUCCCAAAAUACUUGAUAAAAUAAUCCAUCAAAAUAUAGGUACACAUCCAAUAUACAUUAGCAUUGUGCUUCACUUAUGAAUAGUUUACAGUUUGUCGAGGCUGCCAAUCUCUCUAGUCUCUUUAAUUGAUUUGCAGUUCUUUCUUUUUUUGCUAAAUCUAUUCAACUCAGUGGCUUAGAAUUUUAAAUGGACUACUAUCCUGCAGCAUUAGCCAAUUCCAGACUACUUAAUUCUUGAUAAAAGUGGUAACCGAAGUUACCUAUGGAAAGAAACCCAUACACAUACAAGCUCUUUUACUCAUUGCGCUGAUAAUUUCAGACUGCAGUUAAGCUAUAUUAAGCCUUUUAGUUAUUUCAUGUAAUAAAGACAUUAAGAUAAAUCAACAUUCUAUAGACAAAAAGUCGAUGUAGUGCAGAGGAGCUCCAUUCUUAAAUUUAAAUUCAACAAAAUUAUAUCAAGAUAACACCAAAUCAUUUGUGAUCAGUCAGAGAAGAACUGCAAAUUUAACGACAAUGCAUUUGAAAUGAGUGCUGCUAGGGUUGCAGACCCUUGAAAUUAAAAUGUUGGCAAAUUGAAGAUUAUGUACCUUAGCAAUCCCUCACUUUGCUUGACCUAUGGCAGAUACUUCUUAUGCAAAGCAAGAAGAGCAGGAUCCUGUUCUUGUGAUUCAAGUAGGUCCAGUAACAGGGAGGCGGUAGAUGCAUCAGCUGAGAAGCCACCAGCACACAUCUCAUAGACCACCGGCUUCAGCAUACUUCUUAUUGUAAAAACAGACACAAUAAGUGUGUCAUAGGUAACAUCAGUCGACAAACAACCAUUAAAAGUCCACCAACAAUUCAUUCGCCUCAUGGAGUAAUCCCUCUCCACAUACUGCUUGUAAGAAAAUAACAUUGCAAUAUAGUACUGUAAUAACUCUCAAUAGUUGCUUUUAAACCUUCAAAAAUGCUGGCAAAAUCGAAAAGAUUAUGUACCUGAGAACUCUCUCCUUCAUUACACCUACGGCAAGCACUUCUUGCACAAAGCAAGCAGAGCAGGAUCCUGUUCUUGCACAUCAAGUAAAUCCAGUAAAACAGAUGCAGUAGAUGCAUCUGCUGCAAAGCCGCGACCAAGCAUUUCAUCUAGGAGUACACCUGCUUCAUAGUAUUUCUUAUUCUGUAAACAACCGCGGAUAAGCAUGUUGAAUGUGACAUCAUUAGGCAAGCAAUCAUUUCCUUCCAUUUCCCUGAAUAGUUCAUUUGCUUCAUCCAAUAACCCCUCAUAACAAUACGCUUGAAUCAUCACUGUGUAUGUCUUGACAUCAGGUGACAAACCUUUCGCAUGAAGGUUGUCAAAACGGCUUCUUGCAUUCUCUAGAUGUCCAUUUUUGAUUAGUCCAUCAAUCAGAAUAUUGUAAACAUGUAAAUCAGGAACUAACCCCCUCGAUUCCAGUAUUUGAAAAAAGGAUAGUGCUUCAACAACAUAAUUAUUCUGGCAAAGACCAUGCAACAAGAUACGGAAUGUCACUUUGUUUAACUCAACGCCUUGGUUAAUCAUCUUUUCCUUAAAAAAUUUCCGUGCUUCAACAUGUCUACCCACAUGAAAAAAACCUUGCAGUAUAGUGUUGUACGUCUCAAUAGUUGGGGUUAAACCUUCAAAGGGCAUUUGUUGAAAAAAAUCUAUUGCUCUGUCCACUUUCUUCUUUCUACAGUACCCGUUGAUGAGGAUAUUAUAGCUAAGAGCAUCAUGCAAUAUCCCUUUCUAGUCAUGCUUUCGAACACUACUAAAGCUUUAUCAACCUCUCCCUGGAAGCAGUAUCCAUCCACUAGUGAAUUGUAAGUGACUACAUCAGGAUAAUGGCCUCUUUGAAUCAUCAACUCUAUCACAUCCUCAGCAUCUUCAAUCAUUCCUUCUUUGCAAUACGCAUCAAUCAAUAUAUUGUAAGUAAAAACAUCUGCAGAAAUGUUCCUAAGAUCCAUCUCCUUGAGCAAUUGUUUGACGUCAUGCCAUCGAUUAAUGUCACACAAUCCUUGAAUUAACGAGCUGUAGGUUAUAACAUCUGGGGAUAUGCCUUUCCUUGUCAUUGGGUGGAGAAGACCCAAUGCUUGAUCAACUAAUCUAUGUUUACACAAACAGUCAAUAAUUGUUGUGUAAGUUACAGUAUUAGGCUUGCAACCUUUCUUCUCCAUAAUUUUGAACAACUUCACAGCCACAGAAGGACUCCCUCUCUUGCAGAUGCCGUGAAUGAUUGUGUUAUAGGUAACAACAUCGGGUUGAAUAAGUUUAAAUCUGAUGAGGUUCUGGAACAAAAGUAACCACAAAAUCAACUAAAAGGCAAACAAAAAUUCAACCAAAAGCAACCCACUGCUUCCUUCUCGAUCUCUUUCUUUACCUCUCUCCACCAAACUCUUUAUCCUCUCUCCUCUACCAACCACUGCCGCGUGGCUUAUCCGCUGCGACAAUGAUUUCUCCGGCAGAAUUUCAUUCAUAAACCCAAUCAAUACAAAGUCCCAAUUUCAUGAACCCCAAUUUUCUAUUCCGAACAUAUGUAUGAUUAUGUGUAUGUAUGUAUACGCUGUGAUUGAGAGAUGAGAUGAUGGAUUAGAAAGCCAGAAGUGAGCGAGCUUGUUUGUCAACAAACUCCUUUCCCUCUGCCUUUGGUAUGAAACGUAAAAUAUAAACUUUACAGUGCUUUUUUUACAAAAGGUCGUAUAUUCGAAAUGGUUUAAAGGAAAUCAUAUUUCUGCAAUAUAUAUGUUAAAAAGUAGUACAUUAGCUGAAUUCCCUAAAUAAAAUUACAUGUUAUUCAAGUAAAUAUAUCACUACUAGGAGGGUGCCCGCUGCCGCGGACUAAUAUUAUAGGAAAAAUUUUAUUUUUGGAAAUAUUCAAUUCGAAUAGUUUGAUGUUUUUUGUAACAUACAGUGUCUAAAACCUUGUAAUUUAAAUUAAUUUAAUAUAGAAAUUUAAUUCAUGUAAUAUCAGUAUCAAAUUUUAAAUAUUAUCAAGUAAAACAAUAAAACACCUUAUAAGACACAACCAUUUUGUUAACAUACAAUUAAUUAGAUGGAAGUAAACAUAUUCAGUAUCAAUUACAUGCCACAAUACCGCGGACUAAUAGUACAGACAAAUUUUUUAUUUAAUAAAUUGCAGAUUAAAUAAAAAAUUUCUUUGUUGUGAGACUCUAUUGUUGACAACUAUUGUAAUUAAAUUUUAUAUCAUAAAUGAAAAACCGAUAUAAUCUAAAUAUCUGUAUUUAGAAUAUUCUCAAUUAAAUGAUUUCAUGUUACGUAAACUAUUUACGUACUAAUAAAAAAAAUUAUUUCAAGAAAGGUAUAAUAUAAUAAUAGUCAAUCACUAAAAUUACGUAAUAAUUUAUUAGUACGUAAAUAAUCAUAUUUUAUAAAGUAUUCCUCGGCGUCGCCGAGCGGCGACGCCUCGCACUUUAAUCGAAUAUUUUAUAAUCAAAUCAAAAUAAUUAUAUAGCUAAUGACGUCUCGCGUUUUAUUCAAAUAAUUUAUAUUUAAAAAUUUUGCAAUCAAUAUUAAUUUACAUGUAAUUCAUAGUUUUCUUAAAUAAACGAUAAUGAUUACUAUAAAGAGUCAUAUUUACUUGAAAAUUUGCGAAUGCAGGUCAAUAAUAUAUACUCCCUCUGUCUAACUAAUUUCUUAUCUAUAUUUUCGUAUAAGAUUAUUAUAAUUAAAUAAAAUAAAAUUUAUUUCAAGAAAGGUAUAACAUAAUAAAAGUCCAUCACUUGCAUUCUAAAAUUACGUAAUAUUUUAUUAGUACGUAAAUAGUUAUAUUUUAUAAAGUAUUCCUUGGCGUCGCCGAGCGGCGACGCCUAGCACUUUAAUCGAAUAUUUUAUAUUUUAAUAUUUUAUAAUCAAAUCAAAGUAAUUAUAUAGCUAAUGACGUCUCGCGUUUUGUUCAAAUAAUUUAUAUUUUAAAAUUUUGCAAUCUUAAAUAAGAGAUAAUGAUUAAUAUAAGAAAUCACAUUUACAUGAAAAUUUGCGAAUGAAGGUCAAUGAUAUAUACUCCCUCUGUCUAUCUAAUUUCUUAUCUAUAUUUCUGUAUAAGAUUAUUAUAAUAAAAUAAAAUAAAAUUUAUUGUAAGAAAGAUAUAAUAUAAUUAAUAAAAGUCCAUAAUCAUUUACAUUCUAAAUUUACAUAAUAUUUUAUUAGUACCUAAAUAGUCAUAUUUUAUAAAGUAUUCCUCGGCGUCGCCGAGCGGCGACGCCUCGAACUUUAAUCGAAUAUUUUAUAAUCAAAUCGAAAUAAUUAUACUGGUAAUGACGUCUCGCGUUUUAUUCAAAUAAUUUAUAUUUUAAAAUUUUGCAAUCAAUAUUAAUUUACAUGCAGUUCGUAGUUUUCUUAAAUAAACGAUAAUGAUUAAUAUAAAGAGUCACAUUUACAUGAAAAUUUGCGAAUGCAUGCCAAUAAUAUAUACUCUCUCUGUCCUAACUAAGUUCUUAUCUAUAUUUUUGUAUAAGAUUAUUAUUAUAAUAAAAUAAAAUAUAUUUCAAAAAAGGUAUAACAUAAUAAAAGUCCAUCAGUAUUUUUGUAUAAGAUUAUUAUUAUAAUAAAAUAAAAUAUAUUUCAAGAAAGGUAUAACAUACUAAAAGUCCAUCAGUUACAUUCCAAAAUUAUGUAAUAUCUUAUUAGUACGUAAAUAGUCAUAUUUUAUAAAGUAUUCCUCGGCGUCGCCGCGCGGCGACGCCUCGCACUUUAAUCGAAUAUUUUAAUAUUUUAUAAUCAAAGUAAAGUAAUUAUAUAGGUAAUGACGUCUCACGUUUUUUUCAAUUAAUUUAUAUUUUAAAAUUUUGCAAUCAAUAUUAAUCUACAUGGAAUUCGUAGUUUUCUUAAAUAAGAGAUAAUGAUUAAUAUAAAGAGUCACAUUUAUAUGAAAAUUUGCGAAUGCAUAAUAUAUACUCCCUCCGUCUAACUAAUUUCUUAUCUAUAUUUUUGUAUAAGAUUAUUAUAAUAAAAUAAAAUAAAUUUUUUUUGAAAACAUUUAUUGUAAGAAAGAUAUAAUAUAAUAAAAGUCCAUCACUUGCAUUCUAAAAUUACGUAAGAUUUUAUUAGUAUGUAAAUAGUCAUAUUUUAUAAAGUAUUCCUCGGCGUCGCCGAGCGGCGACGCCUCGCUCUUUAAUCGAAUAUUUUAUAUUUUAAUAUUUUAUUAUCAAAUAAAAAUAAUUAUAUAGCUAACAACGUCUCACGUUUUGUUCAGAUAAUUUAUAUUUUAAAAUUUUGCAAUUAAUAUUAAUUUACAUGCAAUCCGUAAUUUUCUUAAAUAAGAGAUAAUGAUUAAUAUAAAGAGUCACAUUUACAUCAAAAUUCGUGAAUGCAGGUCAAUAAUAUAUACUCCCUUCGUCUAAUUAAUUUCUUAUCUAUAUUUUUGUAUAAGAUUAUUAUAAUAAAAUAAAAUAAAAUUUAUUGUAAGAAAGAUAUAAUAUAAUAAAAGUCCAUCACUUACAUUCUAAACUUACGUAAUAUUUUAUUAGUACGUAAAUAGUUAUAUUUUAUAAAGCAUUCCUCGGCGUCGCCGAGCGGCGACGCCUCGCUCUUUAAUCGAAUAUUUUAUAUUUUAAUAUUUUAUAAUCAAAUCAAAGUAAUUAUAUAGGUAAUGACGUCUUGCGUUUUGUUCAAUUAAUUUCUAUUUGAAAAUUUUGCCAUCAAUAUUAAUCUACAUGCAAUUCGUAGUUUUCUUAAAUAAGAGAUAAUGAUUGAUAUAAAGAGUCACAUUUACAUGAAAAUUUGUGAAUGUAGGUCAAUAAUAUAUACUCCCUCCGUCUAACUAAUUUCUUAUCUAUAUUUUUGUAUAAGAUUAUUAUACUAAAAUAAAAUAAAAUUUAUUUUAAGAAAGAUAUAAUAUAAUAAAAGUCCAUCCCUUACAUUCUAAAAUUAAGUAAUUUUUUAUUAGUACGUAAAUAGUCAUAUUUUAUAAAGUAUUCCUUGCCGUCGCCAAGCGGCAACGACUCGCACUUUAAUCGAAUAUUUUAUAAUCAAAUCAAAAUAAUUAUAUAGCUAAUGAUGUUUCGUGUUUUGUUCAAAUAAUUUAUAUUUUAAAAUUUUACAAUUAAUAUUAAUUUACAUGCAAUUCGUAGUUUUCUUGAAUAAAAGAUAAUGAUUAAUAUUUGAUAAAAAAAAAGAGAUAAUGAUUAAUAUAAAGAGUCACAUUUACAUGAAAAUUUGAAAAUGCAUGUGAAUAAUAUAUACUCUCCGUCUAACUAAUUUCUUAUCUAUAUUUUUGUAUAAAAUUAUUAUAAUAAAAUAAAAUAUAAUUUAUUUCAAGAAAGGUAUAAUAUCAUAAACGUCCAUCACUUACAUUCUAAAAUUAUGUAAUAUUUUAUUAGUACGUAAAUAGUCAUAUUUUAUAAAGUAUUCCUCGGCGUCGCCGAGCGGCGACGCCUCGCACUUUAAUCGAAUAUUUUAUAAUUUUAUAUUUUAUUAUCAAAUAAAAAUAAUUAUAUAGCUAACGACGUCUCGCGUUUUGUUCAAAUAAUUUAUAUUUCAAAAUUUUGCAAUCAAUAUUAAUUUACAUGCAAUUCGUAGUUUCCUUGAAUAAAAGAUAAUGAUUAAUAUAAAGAGUCACAUUUACAUGAAAAUUUGCGAAUGCAGGUCAGUAAUAUAUACUCCUUCCGUCUAACUAAUUUCUUUACAUGUUCUCUUUACUAUUCGACACGCAUUUAAGAUUUUGAUUAAGUAUAAUUUCAUAAUUUAUUUUUAAAAAUUUUGUUCUAUGACUAAAAGUUUAAACAUAAUAUUUUUAAUUUAGAAAUUCAGAUUAUCAAAAUAUGAAAACUUAUAACCAACGUAAGAACUUGAGAGGAAAUAGAAAAUAGAAAAGAAAGUAUCAUUUUGAAAUUUGAAAGUGGGAUAGUUGUAUUUUUUAUCAGUUUGUGUAUAUAAGAAAGAGCAAGCGUACUUUGAGAAGCCAAACUUCUCAUGUAAGCUGUAAUAGUUACAUGCUGUGGGCCCGUUGUAGUGGCAGCUGGCUGUCAAUGACAUGCACGUAAAAUUCGUAAUUACGGAGUAAAGCAGGAUUGAAAUGUUUUCAUGAGACAUCUACUGUAGUAAACACGCUUCAAUAUACUGUAGGUUGAUAGGUAGAUAGAUAGAUUAGUCAAUAGAAGAUUUUUAAAACAAUGCUUACCUAUAAUCUUGUGAUUAGUGUAGCUGUAUUGAAAAUAGGAUCACGUGUGUUUCAUAAGGCACGGCCCUAUCAUCAAUUCGAAAGAGCAUAAACAUGUUCUUGACAAUAUUGCUGGAAAAUCUUUCUUGUUUGAUUGGUAUUAUAAAAAUUAUUCAUUGAAACUUAAACAGGAGAGUAUAUUAUAAUAGUUCCUUACCCUCUCCAUUUUAUUCAAAUAUUUAUAUUUAGGUUGCGCAUGAAAGUUAUAAAAGUAAGUAAAAUAAUGAGAUAAAUAUCAAAAAUUGAAUUUAGUGGUGGGAUUGAUUGAUAUUUAAUGUAUAAAAUAAGUAUAGUGGAGAAAAGUAAUGCGAUUAGUGAAUUUUUAUAUUAUAAAAUUAUAUUAUAUUUGGUAAAAUUUGAAAUGUAAAGAACUGGAUGGAAAUUAUAGAAAGAAAAAUAUAAAGAAAUGGUUGGGACAGAAUGAUUAGGUAUUAAUUAAAAUUUAUGCUUAUUUGAAGUUCAACUGGUAUUCUUACUAAAAUUUAUGCUUAUUUUAAAGGUCAGUAAUAUAUACUCCUUCCGUCUAACUAAUUUCUUUACAUGUUCUCUUUACUAUUCGACACGCAUUUAAGAUUUUGAUUAAGUAUAAUUUCAUAAUUUAUUUUUAAAAAUUUUGUUCUAUGACUAAAAGUUUAAACAUAAUAUUUUUAAUUUAGAAAUUCAGAUUAUCAAAAUAUGAAAACUUAUAACCAACGUAAGAACUUGAGAGGAAAUAGAAAAUAGAAAAGAAAGUAUCAUUUUGAAAUUUGAAAGUGGGAUAGUUGUAUUUUUUAUCAGUUUGUGUAUAUAAGAAAGAGCAAGCGUACUUUGAGAAGCCAAACUUCUCAUGUAAGCUGUAAUAGUUACAUGCUGUGGGCCCGUUGUAGUGGCAGCUGGCUGUCAAUGACAUGCACGUAAAAUUCGUAAUUACGGAGUAAAGCAGGAUUGAAAUGUUUUCAUGAGACAUCUACUGUAGUAAACACGCUUCAAUAUACUGUAGGUUGAUAGGUAGAUAGAUAGAUUAGUCAAUAGAAGAUUUUUAAAACAAUGCUUACCUAUAAUCUUGUGAUUAGUGUAGCUGUAUUGAAAAUAGGAUCACGUGUGUUUCAUAAGGCACGGCCCUAUCAUCAAUUCGAAAGAGCAUAAACAUGUUCUUGACAAUAUUGCUGGAAAAUCUUUCUUGUUUGAUUGGUAUUAUAAAAAUUAUUCAUUGAAACUUAAACAGGAGAGUAUAUUAUAAUAGUUCCUUACCCUCUCCAUUUUAUUCAAAUAUUUAUAUUUAGGUUGCGCAUGAAAGUUAUAAAAGUAAGUAAAAUAAUGAGAUAAAUAUCAAAAAUUGAAUUUAGUGGUGGGAUUGAUUGAUAUUUAAUGUAUAAAAUAAGUAUAGUGGAGAAAAGUAAUGCGAUUAGUGAAUUUUUAUAUUAUAAAAUUAUAUUAUAUUUGGUAAAAUUUGAAAUGUAAAGAACUGGAUGGAAAUUAUAGAAAGAAAAAUAUAAAGAAAUGGUUGGGACAGAAUGAUUAGGUAUUAAUUAAAAUUUAUGCUUAUUUGAAGUUCAACUGGUAUUCUUACUAAAAUUUAUGCUUAUUUUAAACAAAACAUAUAAAUAAAAAAUUUAACCAACCAGUUUAAAAAACACCACUCCAACCGCGUUCAUCUGUUGUCUAUAAUUUUAGCCAACCUUCUAUGAAUGACUAUAUUUGUCGAUCCGCUACAGGUCUGUAAGAAAUCUAUAGGAAGAUUACACAUCAUUUAUUACCAUAUUGAACUAAUAUAUUCUAUUUUAACAAUCUAAAAUAUUAAUAACAUACUAUUUUUAAAUUAUAGCCAACUAAUAUAGUCAAUAUCGUUGAAGCACAAUUUCUUACAGGUUCAGCAAAUUUUACAUAAUAUCUUACGGAUCCAAUUUAGCCAACGAUUAUAACCAACCCCGUUGAAGAUGCUCUUACAUGGGCGGGAAUAAUACAUAAAUUUGGGAUGAUUUGAAUUACAAAUCUAAGUACAAACUUAGCCGAAAAAAAGGAAAUAGGGAGAAGGAGCAUGGGAAGUAGGGACAUGCAGGACCGAGCGAGGCUUGUGUAUGUAAUAAGUACUCAUUGCCCAUCUUAAAAUAUUGAGUUAGUAAGAUUGGGUCAAAAAGUAUGGAAGGGUUUGAUGGGUAAAACUUUUUCCCAAAACGACAUUUGUUUUUGAAAAUAGUGCAAGAUAUCUGGUAAUGACACUAACAUGCUUAUCUCAUUCGUUUUAAUUUACAUUUUCAUUUUAAAAAGUCACAAAAUUCAAGAAAAGAGAACAUUCACAAAUUCAUUACAUUAAAUAUUCAUAAUAUAUAAAAUGAGGUUAAUGAAAUAUGAAUAAGAGAUAUCUGAAGUAAAAAUUGAUUUUAAAAAUAUAAUUUUACAUUGAAAGUUAAAGUAACAACUAUUUAAAAUUAUUUUUUCAUAAAUAAAUUGAUUAUAUUUUUAUUGAAUGAAAAUAAACUAUAUAUAUUUGCAAAUAUUAAAUAAUUCAAUUCAAUUAUAUAUUAGAGAAUGACUACUGAAGCUAUAAUAUCAAAAUCCAAAUAAUGUUGUUAGUUUGCUUUUUUUAAUACUCUGUGGCAGUUUUUUUAGGUUACUUUUUUACAUGCAUUUUGAGAUUUUUAUAAAAUAUAAUUUUAUAAUAUUUUUUUAAAAAAAUUCACGGAUAAAUGUUUGACAUUUAAAUUUUAAUUCAAAAAAAGUUAAUACAAAUAUAUAAAUUAUACUCGAUAGCAGUGCCAAAAUGAUGGCCUAAACUUAGCGGAUGUUUGGGUACACUACUUACGGACUUAAAAGUGGCAUAAGUCCGCUUCCACUUUCUAGUGCCUGUUUGGCAAACUAUUGAAGUACUUAAUUAUUGUGAAAAAAGUGCACGAAAAAAAAGCUACGUUACGCAGCUUUUUUAUGAGACUCAGCUUCUUUUUGUUCUGAAAUAAUUGAACCUACACUCACAAAGAAGCUAAUGAAUUACUCGAGAUGCAUAAUAAAUCUUAAAUUUAUUAUAAUAAUUAAUAAUAAUUAUAAUAAAUCUAAAUUUAUUAUAAUAUUAUUUAGUUAUUAAUUUUUUUCUUUAAAUACAGAGUUUAAAAUUUUGUAUUUUGUAAAGAAUAAAUUAACAGUAAAGUUAAUAAGUUAAAAAAAGUAACUAUUCCGUCAAACCCGUUAAGUCUGUUGGCUGUUUUAACAGGAGCCACUAAAAUGCUGUUUAAAAUGAAACAAUAGCCACCGAUAUGUAAAACAGGAAAUGUAGCCAUUUUUUCGUAAACCGAUGGUAAGUUUGGCCACCGAAAUGCAACUGACUAUAAAUUAUGUGCAUGUACGGAAGAGUGGUGUAUUUUAUCCGACGAUGCGCUCAAAUCUCAUCACAUUUCCAGCGUCCAUCAGAUUUUCUGACUAAUAUAGUAAUAUGGAUGCACAGCCGCACAGGAGCUGAUGCCAGUGGAGCAAGUACUCUCGAGUCUCGAUCAUGGGUUUUAAAAACUCUGGGCAAGAUGUCACUGUUAAGCAAGGUGGUGCUGACAGUACCAGUCCAAAAGAAAUCCUGUAGGGCUGUAUAGGCUUGUUGUUCGCAUGUAUUUUGAGAGUUUUCUAAAGUAGAGUUUCAUAACAUUUUUUUAUAAUUUUCUUUUAUUCAAAUAAAAGUUAAAUAUCAAAUUUGUAUUCAAAAGAAAAUGAAAUUAAGAUAUAUCAUAUAACUAUAUUUUAGAAUAAUUUUAAAAAACAUACCAAAAAGUAAAGUAUAUAAUGGACGUGGGAGUAUGGUGUGACAUUUGGUGUAAAAAUUACUCCAAUCCAACAUCAAAACAGUGUAAAAAUUACUCCAAUCCAACUUCGAAAUGGUGUAAAAAUUACCCCAACUGAAUUGGUUGACACCAAAUUUGGGAUCAAAUUUUAAUUUGGUGUAAUUUUUACAUCAAAUUUGGAGUAUUUUAAAAUGUCUAUUAUAUCCGCACACUUAUUAAAGAAAACAAAUUAAUUUCUUUUAUGUCCCAUUAAAAUUGUUUUAGUUCCUUAUCUAUUGAACAUGUUAAAAUUUAAGUACAAAUUCAAUAUUAUAUAAAUAACUUAAUAAAGAUUCCAUUUAAUGUGUAAAAGAUUUUUUUUAUAGAGGAUAUGGUAUUGAUGGGUUGAACUGAAGUUUUGAUAUAACUUAAUUUUCAAACGGGAAUGAUGUCAUUAGUUGGAGAUGGUCUUAAGCAUUCACAUUGGAUGCCCCAUCCCUAUCCCUAUAUUCUUGCUAAAUUUAGUAAUUCCCCAAAUUCAUCUUCAUGAAUUUAAAAAUCUCCUACAUCUCAUUCCCCAUUCUAUCUUACCCCAUCCCUAUAUUCUUUUUUAUAUUACUUCUUUCUCUCUCUUUCAUGUAUUAUAUAAUCAAUCACAUCUCAAAAUAAAACUAAAAAAUGAAAAGAAAAGGAUUAGGGCAUGAAUAGUGAGUCCCCAAAUAUGAGGUUUUAGUUUUUGUCCCUAAAACAAAACCCCAUUUUAGGGAUUCGGAUGGAGCAACAAGCCAACAAUUUUGAUAAAAAAUUAAAAAUUUCCUUAAAUUAUAAGGAUAGGGGAGAGAUAGGGAAGCCAAUGUGGGAAGCCAAUGUGAAUGCUCUUAUAUGUCUUUCUCUUAUGUUAAGUUUAGUUUCCCAUCUUGUAAAAACUAUAUAUAUACAGAGUACUGAAUAUAAAAUAAAUCCGAAUACACACAGUUAUCCAAGAAUAGGUUAAGAGGAGAGAUAGUGGUUGGAGCAGAAUAUCCUGCUUUUAAUCAAUGGAGUAGUGUUGUUCAUUAAUUUUAAAAGACCUCUAACCUAGACUCCAGAGUUUAAAAGCAUACACCUUUUACUAUUGUUAUUCAUUGUCAUUAGACCAUCCCAGAAAGUGAAAAGCUUUAUCCCGCGGAUGUGCAUAUUUAACUGUACUCGAGUCUUAACAGCUGGCUCGGUUUAGUAAUUUGUUAAGUAUAUAAAAAUUAUGAGCAUGUGCAUGAUAUAUAUUGAUAUGAGAGUUAAAUAACAUGACCUAUUUUCAAUUGUACAUAAUGAGAGUUAAAUAACAUGAACUAUUUUCAUAGGUAACCCGUAAGUCGUAACCUCAACUUGGCAACUUCUAUGACAACAACAAUCUCAAAUUACUUGCCACCGUAUUGACCGUUGAGCCUUUGAAUGGGAUGAACCAUUAGCUAGAAAAUUAAAAGCAGGUAUCAACUAUCUGGACAUUUUUAUUUUUUGUUUUGAAAACCAGAUGAUAUAAUUGGACCGUUUGGGUGUACCUAAGAUGAGUUAAAAAAGUGAAGUUUGAAUUAUAAUCAAGUUAAUACUUAAUUACUUCAGAGAGUUUGCUAAUAAUCUUUGGCCAAUAAUUGCUCCAGGCUUUAGACUCGCUAGAAAAUGUAUGAGAUAUUAAUCAAUAUACUCCAUCUUCAUCAUCCUGCACAUAAUGCAUUCCACCAUAUUCAUCAGCAAAAUUAGAUAUGAUAGUAAUUAGCCAGGAUUAUCACAGCACCAGAUCUUAAAAGGUAAUUAUACUAUACCUUUUUUUUUUAUAUAUAUAAGCCAUCAAAUCCAAAAAAUAAAAUAUUUGUCAUCAAUACUCCUACAGAGAAUAUUGGAUACAACUUGAUAUAUCUCUACAAAGCUAGUAUCGAUUCAUUUAAAUAAAAUCAUGGUGUAGAAAAUGACUAUAUUGUGAGCCGGUGAACCAUUUCAUGGCAAUCUGCCUUGCCACCCAAAAGACUGAAGCCAGUUUUGUACCUAGUGGAGGCACACAUGUUACUUGUUCUUGAGCGGUCUAUCCCCAAGAUAGUAGAGUUUGGCCCUCCUCACAUUCUUCUUGUCCAGCACCUUUAUCUCCUUUAUAUUAGGCGAAUACAAUGGAAAUUGGAAAGAGAGAUUCAAAUCCAAUUCCUGUUACCAGCCUUCUUAGUCUAACUGUAGUGUUGAGACCAGCGUUGCGCCUUGCAAUAACAAUGCCUUUCAAGGUUGAAGUGCGUCUCUUCUUCUCAGGUGCACUUUGAGCUGGAUUAUAUAACCAGGUUUGAUAUCAGCUGGUAUCUCUCUAUGUGCUUUGAGCAGCAGGACCUGGACAAUUUCUUGGCAACAUCUCCGAGAGGGGAGAUGCCAUUUACGGUAGAAAAUACAGCUAUGAUCUCACAUAAUAGGACAUUAAACAAAGAUGGUAUAUAUUUUUAAGUACCUGAGACGGUAGACAUUUCCUUUAACACAUGAGUUCUGUUCUAGCAAAAGAAGACGAUAAUCUCUUGUAGAUCUUGGUUUUCUCAUCAAGAACUCAUCAAAAACGGCAAAUUCAAAAUCCAGAUGACUGAAAAACAAACAAACAACAUGCAUUACAUUAUAUGUGUGGCAAAAUUAUUGAGUAAUCAAUGUUUCUUAAAACAUUGCAUAAAUACAUAGUUGCAUACAAAACAAUCAAUUUGUUAAAUGCAGCAACUUGAGAGAGGGAAAGUAAAUAAGUAGAGAAAGUGAGAGGGUUUUCAAAUUUUGAAAUUUGAAGAUGACUAAAACAGAUGAGAAAGAUGACUUACAUGAAUUGUAUAUAAUUUUAAGUACAAUAAUGAAUAACCCAUCAACUUUUCACAUUGGGAGUGAGAAGACACACAUAUUGUAUACAUACAGCUGUUCUAUUACACAACACGCACGCAAAUUCUCCAUGUAGUACUGAUAUAGUACAAAGCUUUAAUGACAAUAUGUCCUUCAUUUUUAAAAAAAAUAAAAAGCAUGCAGGAGAGCAGAGAAUUACACUCUAUGUAUAUGCAAUUGCACAUGCAAAAACAGUAGAAGUAUUAUACAUGUAGGCAUACAUAGUAUACCAGUCGUACAAAAAUCAUGAUACAUCAGCUUUUCCUUUGUAAAUAUGUACAAAUGUAGUAUUAGUAGGUAAAUACAUAGUAUUAUACGUUAGAAGGAGUAGAAAAAGUACAGUAUGAAGGUACUGAAAUUAUUCAGGAAUUAUAAGUUAUAUAGAUUAGUAACUUAAACGUUUAUCAACAGAAUAAAGCAAAAUUUGCUGUUACAGCAUUUGACUGGGUACUAACCACUUUGAAUAUAUAACUGCUAAGAAAAUUAAUCCAUAUAUUGAGGCAAAGGUCAAGCAAACGUACCGCUUGGGCAGCUUCAUCUAUUAUAACAACAUAAAAAGUGCAAUUCAGUUUACUGAAAAGAGAUGAACCACUGAAACUGAGUGUAGAGAAUACCUGCAACAAGUUCAGGAAUCAGCAAAGCUUUCAAACUUUAAUUUUAAAAAGAAAACUAGAAUAACAUACAAUCGCUGCUUCAUCUAAAAUUAAAUUACGGAUGGCAUUUUUAUCCCUUCCAGCACUUCCAUGCUUCUGUUUUUCACCAGUCUGGAAAUCCACGCCAGCAAUUUUUUGUUCCACCUAAAAAUUAGGACAUAAUGGAGCCUGUCUAAACGAAGGUACACAAAUUUUCAGAAAGUUUGCCAUGUGUUUGUCUUGCCAGGUACUUGCAAGAUGAUCCAUAGAUGCGGGAGCAAAAGAGUGAUGGACGUUGAGACCUAUUCGUACAAUUUAAGGGGUGUAUAAACGAUCACUUUCAUCAUGAAUACCCAAGAACAGCAAAAAAUGACGUAUAUUAGUUGGACACACAAACAAUUCUAUCACAAGGAAAAAGAUGUUGCUUAUAGAAAUCUUCAGAACUGACAUAUUUAAGAUGGAAGGAUAAGAAACGUGGCAUGUUAGAUUCAUAUGCCGGUAUUUUCUUGGAGAAAAGUUGGCUAGUUUUGCCUUUUCGUGUAAUAUCAAUUUGUGAGACUAGGUCAGAAACUGCAGCUAGAGUGCCCAUUUGGAAGUCACUCAUAGUACGAAACGCCUCCCAUUUAUCAGCUUCCAGGAUAACAGAGCAUAUAUCCUUUGAUUAUGGCACGACCCAGCGGGGCAUAAAUUGCCCAGAGUUGGUUCACCAAUCGCGUAAGGAAGGGGAUAGUCCCCACCAUCACAUGCCUGAAAGAGUCGUUUGAACCACGGAAGACUGCGCCAAUGCCUCAAGUGUUACCAAUUUCAGAAGGAACGAGAGAAUGUGUUCCAUGAACGUUUACUUUCAGAGUGCCUGGGUUGGGCGGAAUCCAGUGAUAUGCCAUGUUUGCACUGUUGAAAAAGAAAGUAGAGCCCCGAAUUUUUAUGGCUGCAUACUUGCAAAAUUUGGAGAAGAUUUGUACUACUUAACGUUUGUAAGUAAAUGCUCGACUGAAGCUUGAGAAGAACCACCUGAGUUCAUCAUUGCUAAUACAGUUGACUUACACAUGGAACUCAGCAUGUAUUAGCAAGUGAAGAUACGGAAUCAAUGUAGGGAGUUCCAUGCAAGUUAAUAUACUUUGAUAAUUCUAUAUGAAGCAGUCUAGUAAUGACAACAAAAGUAGCCCUCUCUUGCAGGUCCAUGAUGAAAGCCAAUUAAAAGAAUUUUGCCAAGCAUAACUUCAUGUUUUCUGCCGACCACAAAGCAUGACCUACUAAAUUAAUGUUUUUGACGUAGUAAAGCAGCAUCUCAACUAGAGAAGCGUGAAGUACAGAGAAAGGCAAGGCCCUCUCUUUCCUUGUCACACCUAUGGAAAGUACUUCUCACGCAAGGCAAGGAGAGCAGCAUCCGGUUCAUGCACUUCAAUUAAGUACAGUAACGCAGAUGCCAUAGAUGCAUCUGCUGCAAACCGAUGACCAAGCAUUUCAUCUAGGUACACCUGCUUCAUAGUAAUUCUUAUUCUGUAAACAACCGCAGAAAAGCAUGUUCAAUGUGACAUCAUUAGGCAAGCAAUCUUUGGCUUCCGUAUAGUUCACUCGCUUCAUCCAAUAACCCUUCAUGACAAUAUGCUUGGAUCAUCACUGUGUAUGUCUUGACAUCAGAUGGCACACAUUUCACAGGAAAGUUGUUAAAAAUGCUUCUUGCGUUCUCCAGAUGU
rnacentral:lncRNA from 1 species